CUAGCGACUUCAGAGUUUGAUCCUGGCUCAGGAUGAACGCUGGCGGCGUGCAUAACACAUUCAAGUCGAACGGACAAGGGGCUUCGGCCCUGCGUUAGUGGCGGACGGGUGAGUAACGCGUGAGCAACCUGCCUUACAGUACGGGAUAACGUUUGGAAACGACCGCUAAUACCGUAUGAUGCAUCGGAAUCGCAUGUUUUUUGAUGCCAAAGAUUUAUUGCUGUAAGAUGGGCUCGCGUCCCAUUAGGUAGUUGGCGGGGGAACGGCCCACCAAGCCUACGAUGGGUAGCCGGACUGAGAGGUUGAACGGCCACAUUGGAACUGAGAAACGGUCCAG
rnacentral:rRNA from 1 species